AUCCAAUUCCGCCAUCACUCUCUCCGAUCGAACGAGAUCGGUAGUGCUGCGGCAGCAAAAUGAUCGGAUUAGGGUAAAGCACUGAAAAGUUAAAAAAGGAACAAAAAAAUCGGCUGUUGGAAAAUUGCUUCUGAUUGCUGGUUCACUAGUUCAGUGGGUUUCUCCAUGCAUCAAUCCUAGACCACAUGUUUUUUGUGUGAUGGCAUGCACAUUAAGAAGACCUUCAACCAAAAAAUUGACCUAAAGCUCUUUAUAUAAGGAAGAUAGCUUUUGUUCAUUUAAUCAUGCAGAAAGCACUAUGGGAACGUCCUGUAUAUUGAGGCUGCAGAAAAUGGCUGCCAUCUUUACCAACUAUUCCUGAAGUGUAGAACUAUUGAAUAGUUGUAAAAUUUUUGCAGUUAAUAUUAUUUACAACUCUUACAACAUUUUCUGAGA